AUACGGAGGGGGCGAGCGUUGUUCGGAAUCAUUGGGCGUAAAGGGCGCGUAGGCGGCAUCACAAGUCAGAUGUGAAAGCCCCGGGCUCAACCCGGGAACUGCGCUUAUUACUGAUAAACUAGAGUCCGGGAGAGGGUGGCGGAAUUCCCAGUGUAGAGGUGAAAUUCGUAGAUAUUGGGAAGAACACCAGUGGCGAAGGCGGCCACCUGGCCCGGUACUGACGCUCAGACCCGAAAGCGUGGGGAGCAAACUGGAGUAGAAACCCUGGUAGUCC
rnacentral:rRNA from 1 species